GACGUAGGGCGCGAGCGUUGUCCGGAAUUAUUGGGCGUAAAGAGCUCGUAGGCGGCUUGUUGCGUCGACUGUGAAAACCCGCGGCUCAACCGUGUGGCUUGCAGUCGAUACGGGCAGGCUAGAGUUCGGUAGGGGAGACUGGAAUUCCUGGUGUAGCGGUGAAAUGCGUAGAGAUCGGGAAGAACGCCGGCGGCGAAAGCGACUCUCUGGUCGGAAUCUGACGCUGAGGUGCGAAAGCUAGGGGAGCAAACGGG
rnacentral:rRNA from 1 species